rnacentral:rRNA from 1 species
AACGUAGGUCCCGAGCGUUAUCCGGAUUUACUGGGCGUAAAGCGCGUUCAGGCGGUCGGCUCCGUCGGGCAUGAAAUCUCUCGGCUCAACCGGGAGAGGUUGUCCGAUACUGGUCGACUUGAGGGCAGUAGAGGGUGGUGGAAUUCCGGGUGUAGUGGUGAAAUGCGUAGAGAUCCGGAGGAACACCAGUGGCGAAGGCGGCCACCUGGACUGCCCCUGACGCUGACACGCGAAAGCUAGGGGAGCGAACGGG